UGGAUUAAAUGAAGUCAUUUUUCCUAUUAAAAUUUUGAAUUCAGAUAAGAACCACUCCUCUUUGUCUUUCUCUUGCAUUAUAAAUAUGUUGGUCUGUUACCCAGAAAUUACUAUUAAGUAUUUCUGUGUUUAAACAAAGUGGUUCAGAAAGAAUCCUUGGAAAGAAGGAAAAUCUGUGUCUCUUUGCUUAGUUGAUUGUACAAAACAAGUGGAUAAACCACAUUUAAACGGCUCAUUUUAAAAAGUUAUAGAAUAUUAUUGUGUAAUUAACUGAUUUUACUUAACGAAACACAGCUUUAUUAGGUAACUUAUUAUGGAAUAUUCCCAUAUAAAGAGUAACAUAAGACUUGAAAAUAAAACAGUGAGUUUGCUUCUAAAACUAAAAUAUGUCAUUUAAGCAAAUAAAUAAUAGACUCUAAUAUUAAAACUGUAAACUGAGUUGUUGGAGCAUACAGUUGACGUUAAAGGAUUAUCUGAUGUUUCAUGUAUAGCUGACAUUUUACAAUAUUGCAGAGUUGGAGGAUUCAGGCUAAGUUAAAAAUAAGCAGGACUUAUAGUGAAUGACAAUAUUACAGGUGGAUCUGGUUUGCCUUGUUCCAUAUCUAUUAAAAUUUUACUUAAAAUUAAAAUUCUCUCUUCACAAACUUUAAUUACUUACAAUUAAGUAUAACAGAAGUCACUGGAGAACUGUAACAAACACAAUGAUUUCAAAUUUGCCAUUUACCGGCAUGUAGGGAUUUCUCAACGAAAAGAAUGCUUGGAAGAAAAAUUGAAUAAUUUGCUUAAUAUUGUCUAUGCAAGAGAAAAAUUAUAACAGGAACAGGUUAUUCUAAGCAUAAUUCCACAACCACUACGGACGAAUUAUUGUAAUACCUUAGAUGUAUCAGUUUAGGUUGAAAUAGAUUUUUUAAUUAAAAUGAUUAAAACACAAAAUUAAGCUCUGGUAUUGUGAAAAUGUACAAAAUUAUUACAAUUCAUGGAGUAUUUCCAAAUUUUAAAAGCAUCUCAACGUGAUAGAUGGACACUUUCUAAGGAACACAGAUCAGCCUGUGCCAGGCUGAAUUCACAACAGCCAAAGCUCUGAUGGAUUGACGGGCACCUUAAAUCUUUCUUCCUAUGGUUUCAAUAUUUUAAAGUGCCAGGCACUGUUGUCAGGGAUUCAAACUGGUAUGGUCACAGGGCAUAAGGGAGUAGAUUAAAAUUGUUAAUCAUUUAUUGAAAUCGAAAUCACAGCAAUUAGCUCUGCUUUGUUUUUAUGGAAAAGCAGUAUUCCUUUUCAGGAAUCUUGACUACUUUUCCUGCAGCACUAGAGCUAUAAGAUAAAGUCACUCAUAAAUUAAAUAUGGAAAGAAGGCACCUACGAUUGCUAGAAAAUAAGUGAAGCAUCCCUAUCUUUUCAGCAAAGAACACAUUUAGCAACUCUUCAUGCUUACAGGACUGCCAAAAAUAAAUCUCUGCAUUUUCAUAAACUCUUCACAAAGCUCAGAACGUCAGCUAUGCAAAGUUAGACAUGGAUGCCCUGAGUACACAAACAGCUUUGCCUCAUCUGGGGAAAUCCAAACUGAGUGGUAAUUUUGGAAAUGGUGGUCAGUCAAGCGGAAAUCACUUUGAAACAUUUUAUUGGUGGACUCCACACACAGCUUGUGAAGCCCUGGCUCCCUGACCCUACUAGAAGCUGGUCACAGAUUGAUGGGAAGGUCUCUUAGAGGUCAUCUACCCAGGCCUCCAGCCAGUUCAGAAAUCUAACAAGGAAAUUCUCCGACUCUGCUUAGGCAUUUCCAGGAGGCAGGUAGAUGGAGUUUACAAUCUGGCUGCCAAAACCCUGCUCAUCCUGGGAGCCCUGAUCCCAUAGGGCUAUUACUGGAGUACUAAGCUGUGCACCAUAUCACGUGUAGCAGAAUUCAAAGGAACAUUAUUCACACAGACGGCACAGUAACCAUUACCUUCAGAUCUAAGAGAACCUUAUCCCAGCAGAUGAGGUUGAGAAUACAACUAAAAUGUUUAGAUUCAGGGGAAAUUCAACUUAGAGAAUCUAGUCUGCAAAGUCUAAGCUCUACCAAGAGGGACCCAUCAUAGACGAGUUUUAGAAUUUUGAAAGAGUUCUAGAAUUGGGAGCAGAGUCUUGCAAAAUGUAUAAUAAUGCCAGUGACACAAUUCUGUCAAGUCCUUCCAGGGUGCCAGGAUUGGGACUGAGUAUGCGGACUAUUUUUACGUAUAUUAACUUAUUUCAACCUUUUAUCCACUCUGUGAGAAUUGCUAAUGAACGACCUGCUGUGUUGCAAAUCUCUCAGCCCCCACGCUGACCUACAGCAGCGACCAGGACUAGUGAGAAGAGCGGAAGCCGUCCAGCUUCAUUCAGCAAGUCGUUAUCGCUGCAGAGGUUGCUCUGUAUGAUUUAAACAUUAAGGAAGAAAAAAACAAGAAAGCAUUUUGAAAUGAAAAGCAAACUAAACACCCCAAACGCUUCUUAUUUACAUCGAUUAAAUUUCAGAAAAGAA